rnacentral:rRNA from 1 species
CGUGUAGGCGGUGCUCUAAGUUGGACGUGAAAUCUCCUGGCCUAACUGGGAGGGGCCGUUCAAUACUGGAGCACUUGAGGGCAGAAGAGGGAAGUGGAAUUCCCGGUGUAGCGGUGGAAUGCGUAGAUAUCGGGAGGAACACCUGUGGCGAAGGCGGCUUCCUGGCCUGCCCCUGACGCUGAGACGCGAAAGCUAGGGGAGCAAACGGGAUUAGAUACCCCGGUAGUCCUAGCUGUAAACGAUGGAUACUAGGUGUUGGUGGUAUUAACCCCAUCAGUGCCGUAGCUAACGCGUUAAGUAUCCCGCCUGGGGAGUACGACCGCAAGGUUAAA